rnacentral:ncRNA from 1 species
AAAUUAUAAGAAGGGACCCAACACAGAAAAUUCAUUUUAUUGAAUUUUACAUUUAUGUGCAAGUUGGGCAAAGUGUCUUAUUUUUUAAAAGUAUUUCAAAGUAAAAUUACAUGUUAAUACGUAGUAUUAAUGGCGAGACUCCUGAGGGAGCAGUGCCAGUCGAAGACCAAGGCUGAGACGGUACCCUAGGAAAGCGAAGCCAUUCAAUACGAAGUAUUGUAUAAAUAGAGAACAGCAG